rnacentral:rRNA from 1 species
UACGUAGGGCGCAAGCGUUGUCCGGAAUUAUUGGGCGUAAAGAGCUCGUAGGCGGCCUGUUGCGUCCGCUGUGAAAUCCCGGGGCUCAACCCCGGGCCUGCAGUGGAUACGGGCUGGCUAGAGGCAGGCAGGGGAGAACGGAAUUCCUGGUGUAGCGGUGAAAUGCGCAGAUAUCAGGAGGAACACCGGUGGCGAAGGCGGUUCUCUGGGCCUGUACUGACGCUGAGACGCGAAAGCGUGGGGAGCAAACAGG